UCGCUGAUGAUCACCUUCCUGCGCCCCUGGGCGGGAAGCAUGCCCCUCAGCACGGCGGGGGAUCAAGGGCAGCCAUACCUCACCAGCCACUUGCUCAAACAGGGCCUGGAACUGCUGUUCCUCCUCUGUCUCUUGGCCAGGUGGAGUCGGCUUUGGAGGCUGAAAAUUAACCAGAGGAACUUACAUUUGAGCCACAAAGAAGAAACUUGACAUUUGCUUUCCCAAAGGAAUAGCAAAGAAGUAGAGGCCUGGGCUGGAGGUGGUGCUGCCCCGUGGGAGAAGCCGGGACCUUAUGAGCUGUUUGCUGGAGCUCAGAACUGGCCUGGAGCAUUACGAACGGCUGUCUCGACUCCUUGUGAAGGCUUUUUAGAAGAAGAGUCUGGAAGGACUUCUUAGUGGGACUCAUUGAGCCUCCUGGCCCACUAAAGGGACCAAGCACGCUAAAGGAGGCCAGACUCCCGCCUGAGCAGCUGCCUCUCAGGGAACAGAGUGAGUCGGUAGCAGAGAGAAAGAUCACUCCAAACAGAGCUUUCUACUGAGCACCCACCUGGUUCCCGUGCUGCAGCCCGCUGGGACAUCAGGGACUAGAAGGCACAAGUCUUGUUCUCCAGGAGAUUAGAAUCAAGGCGCUUACCUGAUCGCAGGUCGAUCAUGGAAAAGGGAAGAAUGGCGUCAUGGUUCCAACAGACCCCUGGUGACUUCUCUGUGAAGGAACUGUCACUGACUAGGUGCCUUGAGAAACUCAAAGGUGGGUUUGGAAGCAAUUAACCAUUUUUUCAAGUUGUUUCUUUUCCUUUUGUGUGUUAAGGAGAUAUAACCAGCAGCCAUACUGAAACUACCAAGGCAGGCACUCAAGGGAGAUGGAACCACCAGCCAUCCUGAAACUGACUAAGCCUCACCACAAGAGCUAUGCCCAUGACCUUUGCCUUAUUUUUAAUGCAAAGAUCUCUCCAGGAGGAGCUUAGGCCUCAUUAUGUGGAGGCAUGUUCUCCAACUGAGCCUGUGCAAGCGAAUACCCACCUCUCCCUUUUGAAUAUUCAUUCCCCAACCAAAUAAAAGUUCCUGUUUUCCUUUGUUCGGACUCCGUGACUUUGGAAAUGAUUCCUCAUGGCCUCCUAUUUGCUGCAAAUACACUUUACU